rnacentral:rRNA from 1 species
CCUACGGGCGGCAGCAGUGGGGAAUAUUGCACAAUGGGGGGAACCCUGAUGCAGCAACGCCGCGUGGGUGAAGAAGUACUUCGGUAUGUAACGCCCUGUCAGCAGGGAAGAAAAUGACGGUACCUUACCAAGAAUCCCCGGCUAAAUACGUGCCAGCAGCCGCGGUAAUACGUAGGGGGCAAGCGUUAUCCGGAUUUACUGGGUGUAAAGGGAGCGUAGACGGCAAGGCAAGUCUGGAGUGAAAGCCCGUGGCUCAACCACGGUACUGCUUUUGAAACUGUGUUGCUGGAGUGCAGGAGGGGUAAGCGGAAUUCCUAGUGUAGCGGUGAAAUGCGUAGAUAUUAGGAGGAACACCGGUGGCGAAGGCGGCUUACUGGACUGUAACUGACGUUGAGGCUCGAAGGCGUGGGGAGCAAACAGGAUUAGAUACCCCAGUAGUC